UACGGAGGGUGCAAGCGUUAAUCGGAAUUACUGGGCGUAAAGCGCGCGUAGGCGGUUAAGUCAGUCAGAUGUGAAAGCCCCGGGCUCAACCUGGGAACUGCAUUUGAUACUGCUUAGCUAGAGUAUGGUAGAGGAGAGUGGAAUUUCAGGUGUAGCGGUGAAAUGCGUAGAUAUCUGAAGGAACAUCAGUGGCGAAGGCGGCUCUCUGGACCAAUACUGACGCUGAGGUGCGAAAGCGUGGGUAGCAAACGGG
rnacentral:rRNA from 1 species